AUACCCAGCCGGCACACGACCGACCUUCAACGUUGAAAUAUGGUUGAAAUAAGGUCAGAUGUGUUUUGAACGUUGAAAUAAUGUUGAUAGAACGUUUAAUGUUGAACGGUUGAAAAACAGCCUGCAAAUGACAAGGCUUCAACGUUGAAAUGUGGUUGAAAAUAAGUCAGUUGUUGCUUUAAUGUUGAAACAAUGUUGAAUGAUAAAUGGUUGAAAAAAGUUACAGAAAUCCUUGUACAAAUCAACGUUGACAUUUUUUUUAUCAUGGUCUGUAUGUUGAAUUAACGUCAUGGUUUCACCCAAUAUUCAACAUGUUUGGUUACCAUGGUAUCGGAGGACUCGGCGCACGCGGCCACGCGCAGCGCUUCACUUGGGCUUCACUUAAUUACGAACACCUGACCUGCAGUGCAGCAGAAUUCAGAGGUAAGCAGAUGUAACUUACUCCAGAGACGCACUAACUUGCACAGCAUUGAAUGGAAAAGGCUUUGUCCAUGUCCAGUUGAGGGGCAUCAAGAACACGCAGAUGGCCUAAACCUGUGUCAGCCUGGACAGACUGCAGUUCUGCUACUCCAUGCCAAGGCUUUUGUAUGGAUGUCUUGACUGCUACUGUGUUCUCUAAAGGUUUUCUGGAAGCUCCAUUUGAGGGCAUCAAGGACAUACUGAUGGCCUAAACCAGUGUCAGCCUAGACAGACAGACAUCUAUUGCAGUUCUGCUACACAAGACCAAACUCUCUGCUUUUGUAUGGAUGUCUGACUAGUACGGUGUUCUCUAAAGGUAUAACUGGAGCAAAACAACAGCAUCCGUUACAGUGAAAUUUGUGUUC
rnacentral:lncRNA from 1 species